rnacentral:lncRNA from 1 species
CAGACAUUGCAUUAGAAACUAGACCACUCAUAACUUACCCCAGAACUCCUGUACCUGCUGAAGACAGAGUUGGCACCCAUAGUGGGCAGCCAGGUGAUGGAGUGGGAUUCCAGUCUCACCCCUUCGUUCCCAGUACCAUCUGAUCCAUCACUUAUGUAAUUACAGAUGGAGCCAAACUUCUCUCCCUUUAGUUUCUUGUCCCUCACUACAUAUGUAUAGCAAUGAUCUGAAAGCCGACCAAAUGCUGUCUUUCAAAACACCUUCUGAAUUGACACCGCAUUGGACAAUGCUAAAGAGAAGAGUUCAGUUGUUUUAAAGAGAGACAGAGACAGAAAGAGGUGACAAAGUGGGAGAUUCCAGUCAGCUUGGAUAUAGAUGCUUGGUAUCUAUAUCCCCAAGACUGAGAAGCCAUCCAGGAGAACCAUUGGCCUGAGGGAAGGAGGAAGCAGGCAAGCCCGUCAGUAACAAAGCUUGGCUAUUAGUUGGGAAGACAAGAUGACAUUUCUGAGUAUGACCUGGUAUAUUUAGGGAGCUGUGAGUAAAAAUUUAAAAAACUAUUCAUAGGUUGUGACGCUGUAGCCUAAGCAACAUCUCUCCAUUACUCAUUCUUAGAGACGAAAAAAGCAUUCUUCCUCACUUCUCCGUUUCCCAGGCAUCUAGCAUUCCUGAGUUCAUUGCAUUUCCCUGGCCAAAGUAGUUAGUUGAGAGACAGCCACACAAUCCGGCUGGAACCAGUCUUUGGUCUUCUGCAAAAGCAAGUAGGAAGGAAAGCCUCUUUCCUCAGGGAUUCAAAUCUGGGGGAGUUAGCUUCUUGCUGCUGGUGGCCAUCUUUUCAUCACAGGACACCUGCAAAUGAAGCCAUCACGAGGGACGGCAGAUCUGAGAUACAGAGAGAGACAUCAUUUGAGCCUCUGGAUUAAUAUCCCUUCUGGCUUAAACUAGUCUGAUUUGGAUUUUCUGACCUUUGCCACCCAAAGUUUUCACGGUGGGGUUGAUCUUGAUGGAUUGGGCCAUUUUUUAGUUAGAUCUGUCAGGGAAAACCUCUCUGAGCAUCUGGAAGUCUAUGGAUCAAGGUGCUAAUGGUGCACCAUUUCCCGAGGAUAGGAUUAGAGGACUUGGUGGCUUACUGUGAGAACAGCUGAAUCUCCUCUCAAGAUAUACUCCUGGUGCACAUGAGAACAGAUGACAUAUUAAACCGUUUCACUUCUGUGGGGUUUAAGUCAUUAAUGUGUUAGAUUGUCAAGUACAAGAAUCAGAAUGUUAGACUUUCAUAGACAGUCUCCCUAAGGACCUUGUUAGAAGCCAUGUGUUUUCACAGUGUAUGUGGAUGCUUUAUAAGGACAGCUAUUAAAAGAUGACCAAUACAAAAGGUCAUCUUGGACACUGGGAAAGAGCUCUAGAAUCCAAAUAAAAAGCAUGUAUUGAGUUCCAGCUUGCAUCAUACCUGCUAUAUGAGCUUGGGCCAGCCAAUUGACUGCUCUGAGCCUCAGUGGCUCAAUUUGUUAAGUGGAGCAAAUCAAAAAGUCUAGGGGAUUAAAUGAGAUAUUUAUAUCUCAAAGUAUAAUACUCUUUCUUGACAUAAAAUGAUAAGGGGUGUGCCAUGGACUGAAUUAUGUCCCCCCAAAAUUCACAUUGAAGCCCUAACCAGCAAGGUGACUGUAUUUGGAGAUAGGGCUUUUAGGAGGUAAUUAGGUUAAAUAAGGUCAUACGGUUGGGGUCCUAAAUCUGAUAGGAUUGGUGGUCUUAGAAGAAGAGGAAGAGAGAGAGACAAGAGGGUCUCUCUCUCUCUCUCUUUCUCCACGUGCACACACCCAGGAAAGGCC